rnacentral:lncRNA from 1 species
UGGAGUUGCUGGGUCCAAGGGCAGGAAGGGUUUUAAGACUGGGGUUCAGUGGUGCCAGAGCCCCCCAGGAAGGGUGGAGGGACCCACUUGCCCAUCCCAGUGCCCCGCCCCAUCUCCUAGUGCAAAGUCAGGUCCACACCCGGCACCCACAUCUACCCGGGGCUGGGUCCUUGGCAUGCAAUUAUGUGGAACAGACUUAGAAAACGCAAAGCAAACUGUCUUCUCCUCCACCUUCCCUCGAGGACCAGCUGCCUACUGUCCCUCCCCGGCCCCCCACGCCUUUCCCCUCCAGGUUCAGGCUCCCUGAAUCAUGACCCCCCAGCAUGGCCAGGCCCGGGAGGGCUGUCCUACAAUUUGAGGGUGGAGCAUUGGCACGGAAGCCAGCAUCUCUCUCUGUGCCUCACUUCCCCCUCACUCUACAUCGAGAAUCCAGCCAGGAUUAUGCCUGUUCCAGCAGAAACAAGAGGUGUCUGCCAAAGACGCAGCCGCUAACCCCGUGCCCUGUGUUUUGGGCAUGGAUGGGGCAUUCCCUCCUCCUUCUGGGAACCGGAAGCAUCCGGGCUGGCCUGGGAGCCAUCAAGGGCUCAGACUCCGCAUUUGGCAAGACCUGUUUCUAACUGCUACCCCCACCUCCUGGCCGUUGAGCUGGCAAGUCACUGAAGCCCGUGCCCCUCAGUCUUCUCAUCUGUAUGAUGAAGGAACCAUGCGCAGCGUCUGGCUUGGCGCCUGCAACAGAGUCAGCCCUCAGGAUGUAGUAACCUCGCCCUAUUUAUACCAUGUUCGUGUGCCUGGAACAGGCUCCGGGGGCGCCUCGGACCCCAACUGCCACGGCAGCCACACAGCAGGACGAGGAGAGAACAGCCCGUGGGGCCGGAUGCGGCGGGGCUGGGACGCCAGGCAGACGAGAUGCCGGCUGUGCAACCUCCCUGGUCCCUUCACAUCUCUGAGGUGCACUUGGCUCGCGGGUCAAGUGGGGAUACAGCGCCUUUCUCCGGGGGCGCUGAGCGCGGCGAUGAGCGUGGGUAACACAGCCAGGAGUGCUUCUCCCCCGGGGGAACAGGAUUUUCCGGGGUCCGGACACUCACGCCCCCCGGAUCGGCGCCCCGGAGCGCAGGCGCGCGGCGGGGGGCUGCCCCCCAGGCGAAGGGCCCGGCUCGGCAUCUGGAAAGACCCGCGGGUCGCGCGGCCCCGGAGCGGCCGGCAGGGGGCAGGCUGUCCCCGCGAGCCGGCCGUGUCCUCGCGUCACCCCGCCGCCUCCAGCCCCCGCGCCUCCUGAAGGGGCCACGCGGCCGCCUCUGCGCGGAGGGCGAGCGGCCCUUCCCCGGGGAGCCCUCUCCAUCAGCGCGGGCCCAAUAAUUUACGUUUAAUUUGGGAGCGGUUUAAUGUUUAAUUUUAAAAACUGAAUGAUUCAUUACCAUAUUAAUAAAUAAUAACAUUUAUUAUUCUCCUAAUGAGUGUCC